AACACAUAGAGACACAGCAUCAUGAAGGCAGAGGCUGCCUCGGGACGGCUCUGCCCCAGGGAGCGUGGGGCCAUCUGAGCCAAACAGAAUAGAGGGCUUGGACACAGCCCCGGAUGUGAGUUGAGCUCUGAAUGUCAAGACCAGUCCUGGGUGAGUGAGGGGAAGGCAACAGGUUCAAAUCCACACAUCAGCUAAGCACCUACUGUGUGCGGGGCAGGGGUGCGUCCGUCAUGCCAACUCGGUUUGUUCUCACUCCUCUGGUUCGAAAAUAGAGGCUGGGGAGCCCAUUGAGGGAGGCACACCCUUUGCCUUGGGAAGGUAUCAGGCAGGAACUGUCAUCGGCAUUGAGUCUUGAAGGAUGCAUAGAAGUUUGCCAAGCAGGGAGGCAAAGGUCAUUCCCGGCAGAAGGAAUGGCUUGAGCACAGGCUCCGAGGCCUGCAAGUAAUGUGUAGUGUGAUUAGGGUAACUGAAAGGCUCUCUGAACUGGAGUGGAGGGAAGAGGACGCAGCUGAAAAUGAGGCAGUUGUGGGGGUGGGACGACCGUGCAGUGUGACUCAGAGAACCGGGGCCAUCUGCUCCCCUGUCACUGUCCUGUUAGAAAAGACCCCCAGUAAUUCUGUGAGUUGUGAAUUUCAGAGAGGACAGAGGUUAACGUACAGCUAAUACUUUGCAGUUUACAGAGAACUUUCAUAUAUUCACGUGAUCUUAUUUAGACCUAUGACCACCCAGCUGGGAGGGAGCUGACAGAUAAGGAAACUGAGGCCCAGAGUGGUGCUGGAGGUCUCUGAGCCAGGAAGUGGCCCGUCGGGACUGGAAUGCAGGGCCCUGAGCCUGACAGCACUCUCCGGGAAGGGGCUAGAGCCCCGAGGGAUGAGCGAAAUGAUCAUGAUCAUCUUUGUCCCAUGCUUGCAAGUUCUAGAACUGCUACAAAGGAGCAGCCACGAGUGUCCCCCGCUCCCAGACCACUCCAAGCUGCUUCUAGAGGGACUGGACAUCCUGGAGCAGAAACAGGUGAGGAAACUGAAGCUCUGAGAGCAGUAGCUCCCCUGAGCCGUGCAGCUGGAGAGGGCUGCGCC
rnacentral:lncRNA from 1 species